GACGAACGCUGGCGGCGCGCCUAACACAUGCAGGUCGAACGAGCGAGAGAGAGCUUGCUUUCUCGAGCGAGUGGCGAACGGGUGAGUAACGCGUGAGGAACCUGCCUCAAAGAGGGGGACAACAGUUGGAAACGACUGCUAAUACCGCAUAAGCCCACGGUGCCGCAUGGCACAGAGGGAAAAGGAGCAAUCCGCUUUGAGAUGGCCUCGCGUCCGAUUAGCUAGUUGGUGAGGUAAUGGCCCACCAAGGCGACGAUCGGUAGCCGGACUGAGAGGUUGAACGGCCACAGUGGGACUGAGACACGGCCCAGACUCCUACGGGAGGCAGCAGUGGGGAAUAUUGCACAAUGGGGGAAACCCUGAUGCAGCGACGCCGCGUGGAGGAAGAAGGUCUUCGGAUUGUAAACUCCUGUUGUUGGGGAAGAUAAUGACGGUACCCAACAAGGAAGUGACGGCUAACUACGUA
rnacentral:rRNA from 1 species